CGACUUUUUGCGUUUUGGUCCGCCAUAUUGGAUCCGCCAUCUUGAAUUUCUAACUUUUGAGUACGGAUUCGUAAUCAGCGACCCUGAAAACCCCCGAGUACCAACUUUCGCUCUCGUCAAACGAGUUUUUGCACGUUUGGUCCGCCAUAUUGAAUUUUCAACUUUUGAGUGCAGAUUCGUAAUCAGCGACCCCAAAAACUCUCGAGUACAAAAUUUCAAUUUCGUCAAACGACUUUUUGCGUUUUGGUCUGCCAUAUUGGAUCCGCCAUCUUGAAUUUCUAACUUUUCAGUGCGGAUUCGUAAUCAGCGACCCUGAAAACCCCCGAGUACUAACUUUCGCUUUGGUCAAACGAGUUUUUGCACGUUUGGUCCGCUAUAUUGAAUCCGCUAUCUUAAAUUUCCAAAUUUUGAGUGCAGAUUCGUAAUCAGCGACCCCAAAAACC